rnacentral:rRNA from 1 species
GACGUAGGGCGCGAGCGUUGUCCGGAUUUAUUGGGUUUAAAGGGUGCGUAGGCGGCUUUUUAAGUCAGUGGUGAAAUCCAGCAGCUUAACUGUUGAAUUGCCAUUGAUACUGGAGAGCUUGAGUACAGACGAGGUAGGCGGAAUUUAUGGUGUAGCGGUGAAAUGCAUAGAUACCAUAAAGAACACCGAUUGCGAAGGCAGCUUACUAGGCUGUAACUGACGCUGAGGCACGAAAGUGUGGGGAUCAAACAGG